CAGUAGCCACGGGAAUACGGAGGGUGCAAGCGUUAAUCGGAAUUACUGGGCGUAAAGCGUGCGUAGGCGGUUCGUUAAGUCUGUUGUGAAAGCCCCGGGCUCAACCUGGGAAUGGCAAUGGAUACUGGCGAGCUAGAGUGUGUCAGAGGAUGGUGGAAUUCCCGGUGUAGCGGUGAAAUGCGUAGAGAUCGGGAGGAACAUCAGUGGCGAAGGCGGCCAUCUGGGACAACACUGACGCUGAGGCACGAAAGCGUGGGGAGCAAACAGGAUUAGAUACCCCGGUAGUCCCUGUCUCUUAUAC
rnacentral:rRNA from 1 species